rnacentral:rRNA from 1 species
UACAGAGGGUGCGAGCGUUUAAUCGGAAUUACUGGGCGUAAAGCGUGCGUAGACGGUUGCGUAAGUCAGAUGUGAAAGCCCCGGGCUCAACCUGGGAAUUGCAUUGAGACUGCGUAGCUAGGGUGCGGAAGAGGGAAGCGGAAUUUCCGGUGUAGCGGUGAAAUGCGUAGAUAUCGGAAGGAACACCAGUGGCGAAAGCGGCUUCCUGGUCCAGCACCGACGUUCAGGCACGAAGCGUGGGGAGCAAACAGG